rnacentral:rRNA from 1 species
GCAAGUCGAACGAUGAUACCNUAGCUUGCUGGGGGGUAUUAGUGGCGAACGGGUGAGCUAACACGUGAGUAACCUGCCCUUGACUCUGGGAUAAGCCUGGGAAACUGGGUCUAAUACCGGAUAUGACUCCUCAUCGCAUGGUGGGGGGUGGAAAGCUUUUGUGGUUUUGGAUGGACUCGCGGCCUAUCAGCUUGUUGGUGGGGUAAUGGCCUACCAAGGCGAUGACGGGUAGCCGGCCUGAGAGGGUGACCGGCCACACUGGGACUGAGACACGGCCCAGACUCCUACGGGAGGCAGCAGUGGGGAAUAUUGCACAAUGGGCGCAAGCCUGAUGCAGCGACGCCGCGUGAGGGAUGACGGCCUUCGGGUUGUAAACCUCUUUCANUAGGGAAGAAGCGAAAGUGACGGUACCUGCAGAAGAAGCGCCGGCUAACUACGUGCCAGCAGCCGCGGUAAUACGUAGGGCGCAAGCGUUAUCCGGAAUUAUUGGGCGUAAAGAGCUCGUAGGCGGUUUGUCGCGUCUGCUGUGAAAGACCGGGGCUCAACUCCGGUUCUGCAGUGGGUACGGGCAGACUAUAGUGAUGUAGGGGAGACUGGAAUUCCUGGUGUAGCGGUGAAAUGCGCAGAUAUCAGGAGGAACACCGAUGGCGAAGGCNNGUCUCUGGGCAUUAACUGACGCUGAUGAGCGAAAGCAUG